GUUUGAGUUGGUUUGUCAUGGUCUUCAGUAAUCACGGGUCUCCCUUCACUGAGUCCUAUCCUGUUACAGACACGUCCCUAUGAAGCCCUUGGAGGAGACCCAGUAGUUUGUGAACGACACGGCCUACAGGAUAGUGCGUCUGCAGGAGGACAACAUGGUGCUGAAGCCCUGUGUCCUGAUGGCCUCUCCUGCAGAACCUGGCCCUGUCCUAUGGUGUCUUCCUAGACUGGCCUGGACUUUGAGGUGCCGUGUUACCUGCUGGUGAAGACUGGUGCUGUUCAGAUGCUGCAGCAGGACAUAGUUAUGACAGACAGAGGUCAGCCCUUACUUUCCUUCUUCAAUGGCUUGCUGGAACCAUUCCUUUAACGCUACCAGCGCUCAAGAGACUUGCAGUGACCUGAUGGUUGAGCACUUUUGUGGACAUUGAUAGAGGUGGUAUGUCAGUACCUCUGUGAGGAGGCCAGUGAGGGCCUUACAGAGAAGCAGUACAUCCCUGCGGUCCGCAGCUUCGCUGUGUAACUCAUCCAAGCAGGCUGCUUGGCAGAGUCAGGGUUCAGACCUGAGCCAACUCCCCUUGUUUAUCGUGAGGAGCCAAGGAGGAGACCAGAACCAGAGCCGGUGUUGGAGCCCUGCUCUCAGGCUCUCCAGUACACCUUCACGGUCCGGUCCAUCCUGUGCCACCUUCACACACCAAUCCUCCGGUGGCAGCUCCCCGCACCAGGCUUCCUGUGCGUGUCCUCGGCCCAGUACCACCAGUGCCAGCACCAUGCACCAGGCCUUCAGUGCGCCUCACCUGUUCAGCGCUGCCAGAGCCUUUCUCCUCUCCAGCGCUGUCGGAGUCUCCCGCCUGUUUAGCGCUGUCGGAGUCUCCCGCCUGUUUAGCG
ensembl:lncRNA